GUCUCUGAUUGGCAGGAGAGUCACGAACCGGUCAGCCCCGGGUCAGGGGCCGCAAGUGAGGACACUACAAGUGUCGAGGGGCCUAGGGGAAGCCGGGGCUUGGGAGGGCAGGGCUUUCUCUGCUUGCGGACAUCGCGAAGGGCCUCUGGCAGGCGCCGCCGGGUGGCGGCGAGACGCCUCCGCGCCUCCGGGGUUCCUUGUUCGCUGUCGGAGGAGGACCGGCUGAGGGAUGGCCUGGUGGGGAGGGAGCCCUCGGGCAGGUGGCUGCGUCGGGCCUGGGGCAGUUGUGCUGCGCUUGGAGACCUGCCCGCCCUCGGGGCCUGUGUGCACAGGGAGGAUAGGCUGUUUAUCUCUGCAGGCUCAGGAAGGCAGUUCUGUAGUCAGAAGUCCAACAUGGUUCUCAAUGGCCUAAAAUCAAGGUGUCCACAGGAUUGUGUUCCUUUCUAGAGAGCAAGCUGCAGUGUGGUAAACUGCCUUUGAAAGAGACCCACAUGUCAAGAAACUGAGCAUCACCUGUGACCAACAGCCAGAAAGUAACUGAAGCCCCAAGACGAACAGCUUGUGCAAAACUAAAUUCUGCCUACAACAAGAGCAUGAAUUGAGACGCAGAUCCUUCCCUAGUUGAUCCUUGAAAUGCUUGCAGCUCUAUGGACACCUUGAUUGCAGCCUUGUGAGAAAUUCUGAACUAGAGGACCUCGUAUGCCUUACCCAUAGGUCUUACAAGAUAAUACGUGUUUUUCAAAAAAGUAAGUUUGGGGAUAAUUUCUUAUGCAGCAAUAGAUAAUGAAUAAUAAAGUAAAUACAGUUUUUUGCUGUUGACUUCAAAAAUGUUUAAAGAUUUUACUGUUAUAUAAUUGUACAUAUUUAUGGGGUACAUGUGAUAUUUUGAUACAUGCAUACAAUGUGUAAUGAUCAAACUGGGGUAAUUUGAAUAUCCAUCACCUCAAAUGUUAUUUAGUGGUAUUGGGAACAUUCCAAAUCUUGUAGGUAUUUUGAAAUAUACAAAAAGUUAAUUUUAUAUAUAAAUAUAUGUCAUAUAUUAUUAAUAUAUUAAUAAUAUAUGCCAUAUAUAUAUAUGUAUGUAUAAAUGCCAUAUAUAUUAAUUACAUGUAUGGCAUGUUUUCUUUUAUACAUUUAUCCACUGAUAAACACUUAGGUUCCUUCCUUACCUUGGCUAUUGUGAAUAGUGCUGCAAUAAACAUGGGAGUGUAGAUAAUCUCUUUGAUGCACUAGUUUUCUUUCUUUUGGAUGUAUACCUAGCAGUGAGAAUGCAGGAUCAUAUGGUAGAUAUAUUUUUAGUUUUUUGAGGAACUUUCAUACUGUUUUUUACAGUGGCUGUGCUUAUUUACAUUCCCACCAACAGUGUGUGAGUGUUCACAUCCUUGCCAGUAUUUAUUAUUUUUUGUCCUUUGAUAAUUUUAACUGGAGUGAAGUGAUAUAAUUGUGGUUUUGAUUUGCAUUUCCCUAAUGAUUAGUGAUGUUGGGUAUUUUUUUUAAUACCUGUUGGCCAUUUGUAUGUAUUCUUUUAUGAAGCAUCUAUUUAGAUCAUUUGUCCAUUUGUAAAUCAGAUUAUUUGUUUUUUUGCUAUUGAGUUGUUUGAGUUUCUUAUAUGUUCUGGUUAUUAAUCCCUUGUUGGAUGGAUAGUUUGCAAAUAUUUUAUCCCAUUCUGCAGGUUGUCUCUUUAUUGAUUGUUUCCUUUGCUGUGCAGAAGCUUUGCUUUAGUACAGAUAAUAAAACAAAUACUUGGAAAGAUUAGGCAACUUCCUGGGUCACUUAAUUAUUAGUAGAAGCUCUUUCCACUGCAAAUAGUGAUGAUAAUAGUAAUAAAAUUGAAGUAUUAGUAGUUGCUUAUGUUUAUUGAGCAAUUACUAGGUAUUAGACAACUUUCAGUGCAUUUUAUAUGUUAUAAUCUUAGAUUAUUACAACUUUAUAAAGUAGGUACUAUAAUUAUCUCAUUUGAUAAAUGAUGAAAUUGGAUUUAAGAGAGGUCAAACUAUAUUCCCAAGAUCCGCAGUGAGCCAGUAGAUUGGCAGGAUUUGAACUCAGGUUGUAUGGCUCUUGAGUUCUCACUCUUACCACUAUAAUAAAUUGUUCCCUAAAGAUCCAUGCUAUGAGGCAAAAGGUGAUGGUGCAGCAGGAAGAAAUGAAAGGUUACAGUCUGUCAGGCGAAUGAGAUUAUCCCUGACCAAGUUAUUAGGAAAUGCUGUGGCACUAGGAAGGUAUCCGACAUGGCUCUGAAAGGCUGGGUAGAAUUUAAGCUUCUGGCUGUUAGAGGAAAGAGCAUAAUCAGCUGAGCAAGACAGCUGGAGAAGCAUGA
rnacentral:lncRNA from 1 species